rnacentral:rRNA from 1 species
GAUGAACGCUAGCGGCAGGCCUAAUACAUGCAAGUCGAACGGGUGGUCGCAAGACCCCUAGUGGCGCACGGGUGCGUAACGCGUAACCAACCUGCCCCGAUCUGGGGGAUAGCCCGCCGAAAGGCGGAUUAAUACCGCAUAUACCCGCAGCCUGGCAUCAGGCAACGGGGAAAGAUUUAUCGGAUCGGGAUGGGGUUGCGUGACAUUAGCUAGUUGGCGGGGUAAGGGCCCACCAAGGCGACGAUGUCUAGGGGACCUGAGAGGGUGAUCCCCCACACUGGAACUGAGACACGGGCCAGACUCCACGGGGAGGCAGCGGGAGGGAAUAGUGGGGAGGGGGCGGGAGCCUGACCCAGCCAUGCGGGGGGCGGGAUAAAGGCUUUCGGGUGUUUAACCGGCUUUUCUGAGGAAAAAAAAAGCCUUGGGGAGGUACACUGACGGUACCUGAGGAAAAAGCACCGGCAAACUCCGUG